GACAGCAAGUAUUUGCCUAGAGUGCAUGCUAAGAAGUCUCACAUAGAUGUUUUUCUUUAAGUAUCCUGACCACUUAACAUAUUGAUGAAGACCUCUUAUUUCCAGGUCAACAAUCAGCUGUUACCAACUUAAGCUUUCUGGACAUUUUCUAUGAAACAAAUUUUUGCCAGUAAGAAAAGGAAAUUGGGAGCUGCCACUGCUUAGUUAAUUUGAAGCUUUGAUAAGCUUUGCCAGAGAGUCACAUAAUAGAAUUAGCAAGUUUCUUAACAGCAGGCUAAUGUCAGAUUCCGCACCCACAUACCUAAAAGAGGAGCCAGCCUGUCAAGGUGGCCCAGUUACAAAAGAGAGCUUCCAAUCAGUCUUUCCAUUCAGGAGACCGUUCUACUGGAGAGUGAUACCUACUUACCCAAAACAGCCUUUCCUUUUCCUUCAUGAAUUAC
rnacentral:lncRNA from 1 species